UUAACACAUGCAAGUCGAGGGGAAACGACGGGGAAGCUUGCUUCCCCGGGCGUCGACCGGCGCACGGGUGAGUAACGCGUAUCCAACCUGCCUCUGACUGAGGGAUAACCCGUCGAAAGUCGGCCUAAUACCUCAUGGCAUCGUCUGCGGGCAUCCAACGACGAUUAAAGAUUUCAUCGGUCAGGGAUGGGGAUGCGUCUGAUUAGCUAGUUGGCGGGGUAACGGCCCACCAAGGCUACGAUCAGUAGGGGUUCUGAGAGGAAGGUCCCCCACAUUGGAACUGAGACACGGUCCAAACUCCUACGGGAGGCAGCAGUGAGGAAUAUUGGUCAAUGGGCGGGAGCCUGAACCAGCCAAGUAGCGUGCAGGAAGACGGCCCUAUGGGUUGUAAACUGCUUUUAUGCGGGGAUAAAGUGAGGGACGUGUCCUUCAUUGCAGGUACCGCAUGAAUAAGGACCGGCUAAUUCCGUGCCAGCAGCCGCGGUAAUACGGAAGGUCCGGGCGUUAUCCGGAUUUAUUGGGUUUAAAGGGAGCGUAGGCCGCGGAUUAAGCGUGUUGUGAAAUGCAGGUGCUCAACGUCUGCACUGCAGCGCGAACUGGUCCACUAGAGUGUGCGCAACGCAGGCGGAAUUCGUCGUGUAGCGGUGAAUGCUUAGAUAUGACGAAGAACUCCGAUUGCGAAG
rnacentral:rRNA from 1 species